AUACGGAGGGGGCUAGCGUUGUUCGGAAUUACUGGGCGUAAAGCGCACGUAGGCGGCGUGUACAGUUAGGGGUGAAAGGCCUGGGCUCAACCUAGGAACUGCCUCUAAUACUGACAUGCUAGAAUUCGGGAGAGGGUAGCGGAAUUCCAAGUGUAGAGGUGAAAUUCGUAGAUAUUUGGAAGAACACCAGUGGCGAAGGCGGCUACCUGGACCGAUAUUGACGCUGAGGUGCGAAAGCGUGGGGAGCGAACAGGAUUAGAAACCCUUGUAGUCC
rnacentral:rRNA from 1 species